rnacentral:rRNA from 1 species
GGCCGGAGCGCGGUCUAACGUGCANUAUAACGAUGAUGCCCACUAGUGGGUGGAUUAGUGGCGAACGGGUGAGUAACACGUGAGUAACCUGCCCUUGACUCUGGGAUAAGCCUGGGAAACUGGGUCUAAUACCGGAUAUGACCUUCCAUCGCAUGGUGGUUGGUGGAAAGCUUUUGUGGUUUUGGAUGGACUCGCGGCCUAUCAGCUUGUUGGUGGGGUAAUGGCCUACCAAGGCGACGACGGGUAGCCGGCCUGAGAGGGUGACCGGCCACACUGGGACUGAGACACGGCCCAGACUCCUACGGGAGGCAGCAGUGGGGAAUAUUGCACAAUGGGCGCAAGCCUGAUGCAGCGACGCCGCGUGAGGGAUGACGGCCUUCGGGUUGUAAACCUCUUUCAGUAGGGAAGAAGCGAAAGUGACGGUACCUGCAGAAGAAGCGCCGGCUAACUACGUGCCAGCACGCCCAGGUAAUAAAA